UACGGGGGGGGCAAGCGUUGUUCGGAAUUACUGGGCGUAAAGGGCUCGUAGGUGGCCAACUAAGUCAGACGUGAAAUCCCUCAGCUUAACUGGGGAACUGCGUCUGAUACUGGAUGGCUUGAGUUUGGGAGAGGGAUGCGGAAUUCCAGGUGUAGCGGUGAAAUGCGUAGAUAUCAGGAGGAACACCUGUGGUGUAGACAGCUUGCUGGACCAUUUCUGACACUGAGACACGAAAGCGUGGGUAGCAAACAGG
rnacentral:rRNA from 1 species